GAUGAACGCUGACAGAAUGCUUAACACAUGCAAGUCAACUUGAAUUUGGGUUUUUAACUUAGGUUUGGGUGGCGGACGGGUGAGUAACGCGUAAAGAACUUGCCUCACAGCUAGGGACAACAUUUGGAAACGAAUGCUAAUACCUAAUAUUAUGAUAAUAGGGCAUCCUAUAAUUAUGAAAGCUAUAAGCGCUGUGAGAGAGCUUUGCGUCCCAUUAGCUAGUUGGAGAGGUCACGGCUCACCAAGGCGAUGAUGGGUAGCCGGCCUGAGAGGGUGAUCGGCCACAAGGGGACUGAGACACGGCCCAGACUCCUACGGGAGGCAGCAGUGGGGAAUUUUGGACAAUGGGCGCAAGCCUGAUCCAGCCAUGCCGCGUGUCUGAAGAAGGCCCUCGGGUUGUAAAGGACUUUUGUCAGGGAAGAAAAGGCUGUUGCUAAUAUCAAUAGCUGAUGACGGUACCUGAAGAAUAAGCACCGGCUAACUACGUGCCAGCAGCCGCGGUAAUACGUAGGGUGCGAGCGUUAAUCGGAAUUACUGGGCGUAAAGCGAGCGCAGACGGUUACUUAAGCAGGAUGUGAAAUCCCCGGGCUCAACCUGGGAACUGCGUUCUGAACUGGGUGACUAGAGUGUGUCAGAGGGAGGUAGAAUUCCACGUGUAGCAGUGAAAUGCGUAGAGAUGUGGAGGAAUACCGAUGGCGAAGGCAGCCUCCUGGGAUAACACUGACGUUCAUGCUCGAAAGCGUGGGUAGCAAACAGG
rnacentral:rRNA from 1 species